GACGAACGCUGGCGGCGUGCUUAACGCAUGCAAGUCGAGCGGUAAGGCCCUUUCGGGGGUACACGAGCGGCGAACGGGUGAGUAACACGUGGGUGACCUGCCCUCAGCUCUGGGAUAAGCCUGGGAAACCGGGUCUAAUACCGGAUAUGACUCCAUGACGCAUGUUGUGGGGUGGAAAGCCUUGUGCGGCUGAGGAUGGCCCGCGGCCUAUCAGCUUGUUGGUGGGGUGAUGGCCUACCAAGGCGA
rnacentral:rRNA from 1 species